rnacentral:rRNA from 1 species
UAAUUAAAGGGCUGCAGUAUAUUGACUGUACAAAGGUAGCAUAAUCAUUAGUCAUUUAAUUGAUGACUUGUAUGAAGGAUUGGAUGAAAUAUAAACUGUCUCUUAAUUAUUGAAUAGAAUUUAAUUUUUUAAUUAAAAAGUUAAAAUAUAUUAAAAAGACGAGAAGACCCUAUAGAUUUUUAUAAAAAAUUUAGUUAAUAUUAUUUAUGAAAAAUUAAAAUUAAAAUUAAAUUUAUUUAUUGUAUUGGGGUGAUAGAAAAAUAUAAAAAACUUUUUAUAUAUUAAAACAUUUAUAAGUGGUUAAAUGAUCCAAUAUUAUUGAUUAUAAGAAAAAAUUACCUUAGGGAUAACAGCGUAAUUUUUUUUUUUAGUUCGUAUAAGAAAAAGAGUUUGCGACCUCGAUGUUGGAUUAAGAUAAAAUUUAAAUGCAGAAG